AUGCUCGCUUCGACAGCACAUUAUACUAAAAUUGGAACGAUACAGAGAAGAUUAGCAUGGCCCCUGCAUAAGGAUGACAGAAAGAAAAAAAAAAAUUCUCUGAGUCUC
ensembl:snRNA U6 U6 spliceosomal RNA